rnacentral:lncRNA from 1 species
UCUCAUGGCAUAUUGAAAUGUGGUAAAAAGAUUUGAAGUUAAAAGGAUCUUUAAAAUGCUUAAAACUGAUGACCAAAGUUGAUUAUGCAAGUUGUUGAAAAUCUCAACACUUAUUUCCACUAUAUUGCUUGAUGUUUUUAUGUGUUGAGAUUGAAGAAUAAAGUGGAAAUAAUUUGUUCUCUGGUGUGUUUCUUGAAAAUUUUGUGAAAUUGGGUAUGUCCUUAACUCCAAAUGUUCGUCAAGUAAUAUAAAAAGUAUUGAAUCCACUGGGAUUGAGAUUAACUUAAACUAAAACAAUUUGCUUAAUACUUAGGAGAAAAUAAAAUGACAUUUGGGGGGAUUUGCAUAGCAUAUGAUUAACACUUAAAAGUAAAAAGGUUCAAAUUCAACAAUUAAAGAAAGUGAUUGGGUUUAUUUCGAAUCCCUCGUAUUUCACUAUGGAUGUUAGCGUCUAAUACCCUUGUGAUGAUCAAUUCAAUUACCACGACAGUUUAACUAAGCCACUAUACCCAUUCUCAUGGUGUAUAACUCACUAUUUUACACUAUAAUCCCCUAAUAUCUUAGGCCAAUUGAAUAGUUAAAAUAGGCAAACAUUGAACGUUAAACAAUAAGUCACAACCUCCAAUUCCCUAUUUCUAGAACAAUUAUAAGAUUGAACAAUCAAUUGAGGUCCAAUUCAUAUGAUUAAUCUCUUAAUCAAUAUGAAUCUAAAUCAUUACAUGAACAUUUAUCAAUACACAUAAAGCAUUAAACAUAAAUAUUAAUUGAAUAGCCAAUUGAAUUAAUCAAAAGAGUAUUAGAUCAAAGGCCUAACAUAUGAAAUCCAUAGAUUCAUACAAGUUCAUCUUACAAAAACCCAAUCAAAAGAAAACUAGAAACUCAUAGUAAAAUAAAAACAAAAGGGGAAAAAGAAAAUAAAACCAAAGAGGAACAUGAUGGUGUCACUUUAUCUCGUAGGCAUUCCUCUUCUUCUAUCCAUGUAGUGCUCCCUUCCUUUCUUUCUCUAUUCCCCUGUUGCCGCUCCUGUUCCUGUCUCCGUUCCUUUCUUGCGCAGCGAGCCCCCUUCAUUUCAUGUGGUGUUUUGUCUUUUUAAACACAUGUCCACACCUCAUUGGAAGAAUAGAGGAAAAGCCCACAUGUGUCUUUCUUUAAUUGGGCUAGCAUGGUCAAAUGUCUUUCUCUUCUUUUACUAUUUGCACCACAUUUAACCAUAAAUCUAUUAAGUUCAACCAACAAAAUAAAACUACACAAAAUAUUGUUUUAAUCGAGAAAAAUACUUAAUUGACUCAAUAAACCAAAAAUUGCAAUUUAUUUAAAAUGACUCUAAAUUAAACACUAAAUUAAUAAAAUGAUAUUAAGAACUUAUUAAAAAGACUCUAAAAAUAGCGACUGAUGAAGAUCUCAUCACA